rnacentral:rRNA from 1 species
UACGGAGGGUGCAAGCGUCGUCCGGAUUUAUUGGGUUUAAAGGGUGCGUAGGCGGGAGAUUAAGUCAGCGGUGAAAUACCCCGGCUCAACCGGGGGAGUGCCAUUGAUACUGGUUUUCUUGAGUACAGACGAGGUGGGUGGAAUUUACGGUGUAGCGGUGAAAUGCAUAGAUACCGUAAAGAACUCCGAUAGCGUAGGCAGCCCACCAGCCUGGCACUGACGCUGAGGCACGAAAGCAUGGGGAUCGAACAGG